GUAGGGACCCGUUACGUGGUGAACUAUUCGCGGGCAGGACGAAGGCCGAGGAAACUUGGCUGGACGUCCGAAGCGGUUCUGAUGUAUAAAUCGAUCAUCGGACCCGAGUCUAGGUCCGAAAGAUAAUUUGAACCACCUGGUAGCGGGUUCCCUCCGAAUUUUUCUUCAGAAUAGCUGGUGCAGAACCGAAGCAGUCUCGCUCAGAGAGAGAAUGAUUAUAGCCCAUCGGGGAGGCACGUGUCACUCGUCCUCUUCUCAAACUAAGUAACGGGUAAGAAGGCUGUUUCCCCGGAUUCUGAGGCGUCCGCUAUCAUGAGUGUGCCAAAUGAGCCACUUUUGGUGAGCAGAACUGGUGGUGCGGGAUGAACCAAACGCAGGGUUAAGGCGACCGAUGCGGGACAUACAUAAAGACCACAUAAAAGGUUUCGGUUGCUCUUGACAGCAGGGCGGUGGUCACAGAAGUCGGCAUCCGCUAAGGAGUGGGUAAAAACUCCCCCUCUAUGCCCGGCCGUUUCUCUCGGAAGUACUUUGCGUCCGAGUGUAGAGAAACGAGUAGGAGGUUAAUGGUGGAGAGUAUAGAAGACCAGGACGUGAACCAGACUGGAGUAUCUGCCGGUGCAGAUCUUGGUGGUAGUAGUAUAUAUUUGAGUGAGCACUUCGAAGAUUGAAGCAUGGAAAAGGGUUCCAUGUGAAUAUCAUUUGAAUAUGGGUGAGUUGGUUCUAAGGUACCUCUUAACA